UGCUGUGAAGCAACCCAACCUGUCAAAUGAGGCGACUGGGAAAGAAAUGCCAACCCAGGCAGAAUGCAACUGACUGGCAGAGCUGCCAUGCGAAUUGAGUGGAGACAGUGGCAGGCAAUGAUGGACAGCCCAGUGGGUGGGGAAGCAGACGUUGGCAGGCCAUGAUGGACACCCGAGUGUGAAAGCACAGUGACAGCAGCAACCAGAAGACUGCAGUGAAUGAAGAACCCUCACCCCAAGCAGCUCCCCGGAAAAGCUGGCUCCAGCCCUAGAGACCUACCAGAGACAGAAGACCAGGAGCACAGAGCAUGUCCCCCAUGUCCUCUGAUUGUCUUUGUAACUGUUGGAAAUCAGUUCAACAUAUGUGCAGGUUGGUGUCUUUCACGGAGGUGAGGAUGCCAAGGAUGGGACCAGGGCAUUCAGCACAGCUUAACAAAAGCACCUUGCAGCUCAAAACCAGUCAUCUCACAGCUUCACCCAGAAAAGAAGAGGAAGGGACUGGGGUCUCACUACUCACUAAGAGUAAGAACAACCAUAAAGUCUUCCCACUGAGUCCUCCUCUUAAGGGCUCCAUCACCUCCCAAUAGCACCAGCCUGGGGACCAAGCCUUUAAACACAAGGGUCUUGAGACAUGUUAUGUAGCUAUUUCCUGAGACUUGAAACAUUCUCUUCCGGAAGGAGGAGGGGAGAAGGAAACACGGGAGCCGUGGAAAGGCAUAAGGCUCAGAAAACUCAAAAAGUUAUAGAACUCACAAAGCCUUCUCUGAAGUUAUGUAAGCAAUACGCAGCUGCCGAUCUGGAUGGAGGUACUCUCCAGUGUAACCGCCUGCAAGUUAUCCCAAGGAUGCAGCUUUGAUGAACCAUUGCCUAUGCGAGUGGGUUUGGGAAGGGGUCGUGGGGGAUACAACUGCCUUUGAAUUUCUUGUGCUCCUGUAAGUAACCUUCAAUAAACUCACUGGUUCACCAAGC